ACGGAAGGCAGCAGUGGGGAGUAUUGCACAAUGGGGGAAACCCUGAUGCAGCAACGCCGCGUGAAGGAAGACGGUCUUCGGAUUGUAAACUUUGUUCUUAGUGAAGAUAAUGACGGUAGCUAAGGAGCAAGCCACGGCUAACUACGUGCCAGCAGCCGCGGUAAUACGUAGGUGGCAAGCGUUGUCCGGAAUUACUGGGUGUAAAGGGAGCGCAGGCGGGAAAUCAAGUUGGAUGUGAAAUGUCGGGGCUUAACCCCGGAACUGCAUCCAAAACUGAUUUUCUUGAGUGAAGUAGAGGUAGGCGGAAUUCCGAGUGUAGCGGUGAAAUGCGUAGAUAUUCGGAGGAACACCAGUGGCGAAGGCGGCCUACUGGGCUUUAACUGACGCUGAGGCUCGAAAGUGUGGGGAGCAAACAGGAUUAGAUACCCUGGUA
rnacentral:rRNA from 1 species